rnacentral:rRNA from 1 species
ACGCUCGACACCUACGGGAGGUAGCAGUAGGGAAUCUUCCACAAUGGACGCAAGUCUGAUGGAGCAACGCCGCGUGAGUGAAGAAGGUCUUCGGAUCGUAAAACUCUGUUGUUAGAGAAGAACACGAGUGAGAGUAACUGUUCAUUCGAUGACGGUAUCUAACCAGCAAGUCACGGCUAACUACGUGCCCGCAGCCGCGGUAAUCUGAGCGGGCUGGCAAGGC